CACGUAGGGUGCGAGCGUUGUCCGGAAUUAUUGGGCGUAAAGCGCACGUAGGCGGUUCGUUAAGUCGGAUGUGAAGGCCCUCGGCUCAACUGAGGAAGUGCACCCGAAACUGGCGAGCUUGAGUACGAAAGAGGAUCGCGGAAUUCCCGGUGUAGAGGUGAAAUUCGUAGAUAUCGGGAGGAACACCGGUGGCGAAGGCGGCGAUCUGGGUCGAUACUGACGCUGAGGUGCGAAAGCGUGGGGAGCAAACAGG
rnacentral:rRNA from 1 species